AGGCAUUUUCAAAGAGAAAU
rnacentral:piRNA from 1 species